UAGGGAAUCUUCCACAAUGGACGCAAGUCUGAUGGAGCAACGCCGCGUGAGUGAAGAAGGCUUUCGGGUCGUAAAACUCUGUUAUUGAAGAAGAACGUGCGUGACAGUAACUGGUCAUGCAGUGACGGUAUUCAAUCAGAAAGUCACGGCUAACUACGUGCCAGCAGCCGCGGUAAUACGUAGGUGGCAAGCGUUGUCCGGAUUUAUUGGGCGUAAAGCGAGUGCAGGCGGUCUUUUAAGUCUGAUGUGAAAGCCUUCGGCUUAACCGAAGAAGGGCAUCGGAAACUGGGAGACUUGAGUGCAGAAGAGGAGAGUGGAACUCCAUGUGUAGCGGUGAAAUGCGUAGAUAUAUGGAAGAACACCAGUGGCGAAGGCGGCUCUCUGGUCUGUAACUGACGCUGAGGCUCGAAAGCGUGGGUAGCAAACAGGAUUAGAU
rnacentral:rRNA from 1 species